GGCUUCAUGGUGAGAGUGAUCUGGGAUCAUUGGCUUUGUUAUUUUAUUUUACUCAUUUGUAUUUGGGACAUGUGUUAAACUUUAUUUUGGGAUGACUGUAUAAAUGCUUUUAAACCUCUUCUGAUAUUUAGAUUGUAUUUUAAAUUCUGGUACUUUGUUGACUA